GUGCUAGCUUUGGCAGCACACAUACUAAAAUUGUGAAUGAUAAAGAGAAGAUUUAGCAUGGCCCCUGUGCAAGAAUGACGCAAAUUUGUGAAGUGCUCCAUAUUCCC